ACUUGGAUUUUAAAAAUUCGUUCUUGGUUUUCGUAAAAUUCAAAACCCAUUUGAUAAACCAAAUACUGCUCGUUCAAAAAAAUUCAUUUAAGGUUUUAGAAAAUUUGAAACUAUUUCGAUAAACUUCAAAUUACAUACAACUAAUUUCAGUUUACGUGAAAAGAAAGUAAACAAAAAAGAAUGCCGAUUAGAAAUACCCAAGGGGUUGUCACCUCUAAUUUUCCAGAUUUUUCUAGAAAUUGUUACUUACAAAGCGCGGAAUUAACUAAAGGGCGAGGCGGGCAGACGAGGCAGUCUUUUGGAAAAUUUUGUUUUUACCCCUUUUUAACUUGUUUCUUUUAACAAUUCCGUGUUAUUCCCCCUUUUCCAAGAAAUAUUUGAGACUUUUGCGGCUAAACCCUUCUUUUUAUCACAAAUUUUCCCCUUCCCUGCGUUUCCCACGUUUUGGAUUUAAAGAAAACAAUGAAACGUCAUUGUCAAGUUUAGCUUUAAAACAACGUCAUUUGGCCGAAAAUAGAUUUAAAUACGAUAAGGGAUAUGUGAGAAGAAGAAACAAACAAAUUAAUUUUUUUUUUAGUAUCGGGAUUCGCUGAUUCUGGUUAUUCCCUUUUAAUUUAUCAGUUGUUAUUUUACAGACGUCUCGUUUGUAUCCAGAAUUGAACAUCUUUUUUUCAGCCGUACGAAACAAGGGAAAGAAGGAGUUAGACCGCAGCUGUACAAACUCGCGUGGUGAUUUCAUGGAAUACCAAACUGCUGAAGUAGGAAAUACUGAGAAGACGCUUGUAAUCAAUCACCAAAUGGUCAUCGAGAAAAUUAAACUCUAAGACAAGGAUCAGCAGAAAUGGAAGUGAAUUAUAAACAGAAUUAUGACAUUCUCUGUCUUCAUUGAUCAAGAGAAUAGAUGUAACGUUCUGUUGACUAUCGCCUUCAAAAUAAAGAUGUUAAAUCAAUUAUUCAAAUAUAUAUUUAGUUUAGAUGACAGCUACUUUAUCAUUACACUGCUGACCAAACCAAAAAAAUGUUUUUUUCCUCUUUUCUAUAUUUAUAUUGAAAACCAAUUUCUUAGUAAAGCACUUUGACAAGAACCAAACAGGAGAGUUGGUCAACAGACUCUCUACUGACACUACCAAGUCAUCAAGUGUAUCACUGCUUACCUUGCAGAUGGAAUAAAAUGAAUCAUUUCCAACAGGCAAAAAUUAUAUUCGUAUUGAAAUUCUGUCACUUCUUCUUUCUGCUGCACGGAGAGAUUUUAAAACAAGUCCCACUUGUUCUUCACCUUCUUUACAUUUCUGAAUGCCCAGGGCUAACUUUUUGAAUCCAGGGACUCUCAUUUUUACUCUUAACUUCACAGGAACAUCUUCUAGUUUUCCUUGCUAGUGAGUAGUGACAUAUAAAAUGUUAUUCAGCAGUAUAUUUUGAAUGCAUUGA